rnacentral:rRNA from 1 species
GAGUUUGAUCGUGGCUCAGGAUGAACGCUGGCGGCGUGCCUAAUACAUGCAAGUCGAGCGAACGGACGAGAAGCUUGCUUCUCUGAUGUUAGCGGCGGACGGGUGAGUAACACGUGGAUAACCUACCUAUAAGACUGGGAGUAACUUCGGGAAACCGGGAGCUAAUACCGGAUAAUAUUUUGAACCGCAUGGUUCAAAAGUGAAGACGGUCUUGCUGUCACUUAUAGAUGGAUCCGCGCUGCAUUAGCUAGUUGGUAAGGUAACGGCUUACCAAGGCAACGAUGCAUAGCCGACCUGAGAGGGUGAUCGGCCACACUGGAACUGAGACACGGUCCAGACUCCUACGGGAGGCAGCAGUAGGGAAUCUUCCGCAAUGGGCGAAAGCCUGACGGAGCAACGCCGCGUGAGUGAUGAAGGUCUUCGGAUCGUAAAACUCUGUUAUUAGGGAAGAACAUAUAGUGUAAGUAACUGUGCACAUCUUGACGGUACCUAAUCAGAAAGCCACGGCUAA